rnacentral:rRNA from 1 species
GGCCUACCAUGGUGGUAACGGGUAACGGGGUGUUAGGGCACGACACCGGAGAGGGAGCCUGAGAAACGGCUACCACAUCCAAGGAUGGCAGCAGGCGCGCAAAUUACCCAAUCCCGACACGGGGAGGUAGUGACAAUAAAUAACAAUACGGGGUUCUUUAGGAUCUCGUAAUUGGAAUGAGUACAAUUUAAAUCUCUUAACGAGGAACAAUUGGAGGGCAAGUCUGGUGCCAGCAGCCGCGGUAAUUCCAGCUCCAAUAGCGUAUAUUAAAGUUGUUGCAGUUAAAAAGCUCGUAGUUGAAUUUCGGGGUCAGCAGGUUGGUCGUGCCACUGGUAUGAACUGGUCUCGCUGAUCCCUCCUUUCUGAAGAACUGUAAUGUCAUUAAUUUGGUGUUGCAGGGAAACAGGACUGUUACUUUGAAAAAAUUAGAGUGUUUAAAGCAGGCUAACGCUUGAAUACAUUAGCAUGGAAUAAUGAAAUAGGACGUUCAAACCUAUUUUGUUGGUUUCUAGGAUUGACGUAAUGAUUAAUAGGGAUAGUUGGGGGCAUUAGUAUUCAAUUGUCAGAGGUGAAAUUCUUGGAUUUAUUGAAGACUAACUACUGCGAAAGCAUUUGCCAAGGAUGUUUUCAUUAAUCAAGAACGAAAGUUAGGGGAUCGAAGACGAUCAGAUACCGUCGUAGUCUUAACCAUAAACUAUGCCGACUAGGGAUCGGAUGAUGUUAAUUUUUUAAUGACUCAUUCGGCGCCUUACG